rnacentral:rRNA from 1 species
GUCUACGGCCAUGCCACCCUGAACACGCCCGAUCGUAUCUGAUCUCGGAAGCUAAGCAGGGUCAGGCUUGGUUAGUACUUGGAUGGGAGACCACCUGGGAAGACCAGGUGCUGUAGGCA